rnacentral:rRNA from 1 species
CGUGAGGGAAAGGCGAAAAGAACCCCGGCGAGGGGAGUGAAAGAGAACCUGAAACCGUGUACGUACAAGCAGUGGGAGCCCCACCACCAAAGCGUUUCGCUUUGCGUGGUGCACAAAAUGCGUAACGGCAUCACUGAUGCGCGGUUGGCGGAGCGGUAGCGACGCCAAACACAACCAUCAAGCAGUGGAGCGUUUUGGGGUGGGGUGACUGCGUACCUUUUGUAUAAUGGGUCAGCGACUUAUAUUCUGUAGCAAGGUUAACCGAAUAGGGGAGCCGCAGGGAAACCGAGUCUUAACUGGGCGAAAUGAGUUGCAGGGUAUAGACCCGA